rnacentral:lncRNA from 1 species
AAUGACCUUCUGUGGCUACAGAGAAAGGCUUCAGGCAAAGAGAUGCAGCUCUGGGCCCCAGAGUCCGCUGGAGCACACUGAAGCUGGAGCACACUGAAGUGGAAGAUGGGGCUGCAGACAGAGACUGGGCAGCCUCUGCUCCAGGGAGGCCCGAGAGCCAGAGAGCAGAUUCCAUAAGAAGAAUAACUCCCAUUCCUCAUGCAUGAGACCCUCUGCUAAAUGCUUCCUGUGCACCACCUCCAGAAAUCCUCCCAAGCCAGGACACCAGCAGUAUUACAGGAACUGGAUGACAAAAAGAAGAGCCGAUAUAACCAGGAACCUACUCUGGCCACCCCAAGUAAGGAUCUAAAGUCCAGCCUCCUCCUCCACUGCCCUCAAGGCCUUUCCUCAUGAAAGCAGAGGUUCUGAAUGCUGAUUUCUGUUUUAAAGCCCAAUAACUCUUUAAACAUCU